rnacentral:rRNA from 1 species
GACGAACGCUGGCGGCGUGCCUAAUACAUGCAAGUAGGACGCAGUUGCGAACGGGUGAGUAAUGCGUAGGUAACUACCUAUUAGAGGGGGAUAACUAUUGGACACGAUAGCUAAUACCACAUCCUACUAGAUGGACCUGCGUUGUAUUAGCUAGUAGGUAGGGUAAUGGCCUAACUAGGCAACGAUACAUAGCCGACCGGAGAGGGGGAUAGGCCACACGGGGACUGGGACACGGCCCGGACGCCUACGGGAGACAGCCGUAGGGAAUCUUCGGCAAUGGGGGGAUCCCUGACCGUGCAACGCCGCGUGGGUGAAGAAGGUUGUCGGAUCGUAAAGCUCUGUUGUUAAGGAGGCGGUACUUAACCAGAAAGGGACGGCUAACUACGUGCCAGCCGCCGCGGUAAUAC